UACGUAGGGGGCUAGCGUUGUCCGGAAUCAUUGGGCGUAAAGCGCGCGUAGGCGGCUUUGUAAGACAGAGGUGAAAUCCCCGGGCUCAACCUGGGAACUGCCUUUGUGACUGCAAGGCUUGAGUGCGGCAGAGGGGGAUGGAAUUCCGCGUGUAGCAGUGAAAUGCGUAGAUAUGCGGAGGAACACCGAUGGCGAAGGCAAUCCCCUGGACCUGUACUGACGCUCAUGCACGAAAGCGUGGGGAGCAAACAGG
rnacentral:rRNA from 1 species